CGUUUUAUCACUCACCGUAUGACGUAGCGUUGAUGGAGAAGGUCCUCCGAGACCCAUACAAAGUUUUCAAGAGAUCUUAUCAGCUUUAAAAACUCUUCAUCUACCACUAAUGUCAUAAUUCGAACCACUUUGGUCUCAGACUUCUGCCUUGUGGGGUCUCAAGGAAAAAAAAUGAUUUCAAUCAAGACCACUAUUUGGGAUUAAAGUUUUAUGUAGAAGGCCAAAUGGAUAAACAAUUCAAUGCACUUUUCUAGCCCAGACCUGAAAGAAACAAGAAAGAGGAAAAGGCGAGAAGAAAAACGAAGUUUAACCUUGAAGGAGGAUAUAGCUCCUUCUGUCUCUGGAAGGGAGAAAGGUUUACCAAGAGAUUAAACGUUCCCGAUUCGCUUCCCGGUUUCAUCUGGCCAUUUCGUGUAAUACUGCCUUCGUCAUGAAUUCGUCUCUCUUGAUGUCUUAGAGAUAGAUGACAAUCUGAUAGUUCAUAUCGUCCAUUACUGAACAGAUGCUUCUGAUUACGUCACUGCAAGGCUGUUAACCUUGAGAUGCCAUGAUCUCAGUAACAGGCUUAUCUGAAGUCCAUUACGUCUUUGAAGUCCAAGAUUUCCACCAGAUCCUUUCUUGAAAUCCAAUAUAUUUACCAUACGAUACUUCCAUGGAGAAUGUUAUUUUCAUUACAGUGUGAUUUAGUUCAUUAUUUACUUACCAUCGUGGGUGUUUCCAUCAAUAAAUUAGCUUAGCAAACUAACGACAGAUACUUAAAGCUAGGCGCUUGCUAUUGGCAUUUGAUGUUAAGCCGACUACCAAUGAUGAAAUCACAACACAUUUACUUAUGCAAUUAUCAUAACAUAGAGACCAUUGUUUGCACGACUGGAGUGUGUGUGUGUGUGUGUGUGUGUGUGGUUUUUCAUCUUAUUAAUUUUAUUUUGUGAAUAUUUACUUUUAUUUCCACAAAUGUGACCACAUGUGACCACACUGAUGUACGAAGCGUUCAAGUGAUGAUGGCCGUGGACUAAGCUAAGUUCUCGCAGUAGUUUCUUUUUAAUCAAUUAAAUUGUGACCGACAUUUUUCAUAAUAUAAACAGCAACAGCAGGUGACUAGCACAAUCGUGUAUCCGUGUCCAUUUAAGCGUUAGCAACGAAUCUCUUUAGUCUUACUCCGGGAGAAAGAGGUUGUUGAAGUUACUUUAUCUAGUAGCCCAGCAGCCUGUGACGUCAUCUUCGUGUGUGGGUAAGAAAUCUCAGCUGAUAACAGGGAGUCGCCCGGGGUAUAUAAAUGCCUCACACACAUCUUCCUCCUAACACACCUGAACUCUCAGGAAAGAGAAGCAUUCUAGGCUAACAGAAACAGAAACAGUCAUAAGCAAAGAAAGAAAAGUUGUUCGUCCUGAUUCAAAAAACCCCCAUCCUCUUCACAAUGAUUCAGGAAUUGUCCUUAUCCAGCAUGGCAUAUUCAAGAAGGCACGACGCCCACAAUCAAGAUAAGCAUCAUUCCAUACAUGAUGAAGUCAAGAGACGCACCGCUUCCUCAGAAAGCGACCGAAGUCUCCGCAGUGACAGAAGCGGAAACAACAGCUUCACCAGUCAACGCAGCUGCUGUGGCGACGAAACAACUCAGCAUCACAACAACAAAGGCAAAAAGAUGACCAAGAAAUCUCACACGCAACAUAAUGCAAUUGACAGCGAUUUCGUAACAUAUUUUAUCUGCCGUCGACCAUGAGAAAAUGAAUUCUCUCUCUCUCUCUCUCUCUCUCUCUCUCUCUCUCUCUCUCUCAUUUCCUUAUUUAAUUGUUCUUUAUAAUUUAUACACUUAGUUUAGAUAAAUCACAAUACUUCACUUAUUUCAUGUUCCAUUAAUAUAAUUUAUAUCCAUUAUCAUCUAGGAUUUUAUAGAAAAUAAAAUAUAAAAACAUUCAAAACUCUAUUUCAUUUACUUCAGUAAUGUCUACAUUGUUUCCGUUUUCUGAAAGAACUCUGGUCCAAAACAGGAGAUUCAUAAAAAAAAGAAAAAAAAAAAAAAGAUAUGGAAUCAACCUUCUGAGGAGAUCAAGGGUAUUUUACUUGAUCGUUUCCCAAAUAAUGUUUUGAUGCCAGAUGCUGAAUGAUCUUCAGACUUUGAUACAAUGACUAAAGUAGAUUCCAAUAGAAAUGAUAGGAAGUAAAACACUGUUGAAAAGCGAGAGAAUUACAGGCAGAUCAGAGUGCCUAUCGUAUCUUUCCCCCUCGUGUGGAAGGGGCUCUACUGUUCUUUGUAGCGUCCCUUUUGCCCCUAGCAACAACCCUGUUCAUUCCUUUUACUGUACCUCCGGUCAUGUUAUAUCUCUUCCAUCUUGCUUUUCACCCUCUCCUAAUACUUGUUUCAUAGUGUAACUGCGAGGUUUUCUUCCUGUGACACCUUUCAACGUUUUUGUUCUGAAUGACCUCAUAGAUCCCUGAGCUUGGCCUUUCGGCCUAAAUUCUAUAUUCCUAUUAUUACUUCUAUCACUAAUCUGUCUCUUUUGAUGUGUACGGGAUUGAUAACAUGUUAUGUCAUAUCGUCCAUUGUCGAAACUUCUGAGUAAGGUAUUGCAAUGUUAUUAACUUUAAGAUGCUGCCGGAAAUCCGUUAUUUAAAAAAAAAUGGCUCACCCGAAGUUACAAUGGGUAUGCCUGAGAUGCUUUAUUGAAGUCCACGAUUUAUCAAAAAAACCCUUCUUUUGGAGCCAAUUAUUUUCAUAAGAUUAAAGAACAAUUAUAACUUGCUGGAGAUGCUGCCUCGAGGUCAGUUAUUUUUAUAAAAUGCUCCUUUCAAGAACUUUAUAACUUACCAUAAGGUGCUUUCUUUAAGUCAAUCGUGGGUUUUUUAUUCAAUACGUACAUAUCCUUAACAAACUAAUGACAGACACUUAAAGCUAAGUGCACUCACUACUGACAUUAAAUGUUGCACCAACUUCCGUUUAUGCAACUACAACACAUCUAUCCAAGUAUUUAAUCACCAACAUGUGGGCUGGAUGUUCUUCAGAUACAUUUACUUUCAUUUGCAAAUGUAACCGCUGUCAUUUACGAAGCGUACGAGUGAUGACUGUCGUUGGAAACCAGGCAUACUACGCUAUAUUUUCGUAGUCAUUUUUUAUCAAGAUUUCGAACAUUGAACUGAUAAUUGAUCAUAAUAUAAACAGCAACAGCAGGGGACUCGCAUAUUCGUGUAUCAGUUCUCUCGUAUGCGUUAGCAACGAAUUUGUUUAGCCUUACUCCAGGGAGAAGUGGUUCAGGUUACUUUAUCUAGUAGAUAACCUAGCAGCCAUUGACGUCAUCUUCGUGUGUGACAAAAGAAAUCGUGAUUGAUAAAAGGGUUGUCUCUUCGGGUAUAUAAACGCCUCACACCCGUCUUCCUCCUAACACACCUGAACACUGUGGAACAGAAGUAGUCUCGGCUUACCUGGAAUUCAAACAGAAACAGUCACAAGAAAGAGGUGUUUAUCAGAAACAAACUUUCCGCUCUUCAAAUCCUUUUGGCCCGACCCCAAAGCCUUCAGUCUCGUCUUCACAAUGAUUCAGGAAUUAUCUCUAUCCAGCAUGGCAUAUCAAAGAACGCACGAUUCACACGAUCAAGCAAAGCAUCAUUCUGUACAUGAAGCCGUAAAGAAGCGCACCUGUUCUUCAGAGAGCGACCGAAGCCUCCGGAGUGACAGAAGCGAAAACAACAGCUUCACCUGUCAACGCAGCUGCUGCGGCGACGAAACAACAACUCAUCACCACAAUAACAACAAAGUCAAAAAGAUGAACAAGAGAUCUCACAAGAACCAUAAUACGAUUGACAGCGAUUUCGUGACAUACUUUAUCUGCCGUCGACCAUGAGAGAACUAUCAGGCCUUUCUCUCUUUCUCUCUCGUUUCAUUAUUUGAUUCUGCUUCAUACAUAGAACUCAUCAUAUUCCACUGAUUUCAUGGCCCAUCCAUAUAAUUUAUAUCCAUUGUCAUCGACUUUUUUAUACGAAAAAAUAAAAUUUAAAAGCACUCGAACUCAAUUUCAUUAA